GGGCAGCCGAAGGGAAGGCAGCGCCGAGCGAGCGAGGCAGCCGAAGCAGCAGCCCGAGAGGCAGGCUGGAGAGAGGCAAGAGACUGGGUUCUGCUCGGCUCGCUCCAUCGGCAGCGGGAGCAGCUGCAGAAACGCCGCGGCGGCGGCUGGAGCCAGACGGGGAGCCCGAGCGAGCAGGGCAGCGAGCCUCGGCUCCCUUCUGACUUUGCUUCUUCUGCCUUCCCUUUCGGCGAGCCUGGAGCUCCGCUCCCCCUCCGACCACGUCCUCCAAGCAUGGAAGGCGCUGGGAAGCCCAACUCCUCGUCCAGCAGCCGGGACGACGGCAAUAGCGUCUUCCCCGUGAAGCCCACAGCUUCGGGGGCUGGGACUAUGGGGGCCGCGGCAGAGAAGAACUUGGGCAGCCCCCCGGGGGGCGGCGGCGGCGGGGUAACACCAAGGAGCAUGGCAACUCCGUGUGCUUCAAGGUGGACGGAGGCAGCGGCGGCAGCGCGGGCGCCGGCGGCGAGGAGCCCGUGGUGGGCUUUGAGGAUGCCGAGGGACCCCGGCGGCAGUACGGCUUCAUGCAAAGGCAGUUCACCUCUAUGCUGCAGCCGGGCGUCAACAAAUUCUCCCUCCGCAUGUUCGGCAGCCAGAAGGCGGUGGAGAAGGAGCAGGAAAGGGUUAAAACUGCAGGUUUCUGGAUUAUCCACCCUUAUAGUGAUUUCAGGUUUUACUGGGAUUUAAUAAUGCUUAUAAUGAUGGUUGGAAAUCUUGUCAUCAUACCAGUUGGCAUCACAUUCUUUACAGAGCAAACAACAACUCCAUGGAUUAUUUUCAAUGUGGCAUCAGACACGUCUUCCUGUUGGACUUGAUAAUGAAUUUUAGGACUGGGACUGUCAAUGAAGACAGUUCUGAAAUCAUCCUGGACCCUAAAGUUAUCAAGAUGAACUAUUUAAAAAGUUGGUUUGUUGUUGACUUCAUCUCAUCGAUACCAGUGGAUUAUAUCUUUCUCAUAGUAGAAAAAGGAAUGGAUUCAGAAGUUUACAAGACAGCCAGAGCACUUCGAAUUGUGAGAUUUACAAAAAUCCUCAGUCUCUUACGUUUACUACGACUUUCAAGGUUAAUUAGAUAUAUACAUCAAUGGGAAGAGGUAAGAUAUCCUUAAUAUAUAUUUCAGAUUUUUAGUAUGAUGAAAUAGUGAAAAAUAA
rnacentral:lncRNA from 1 species